rnacentral:rRNA from 1 species
AGACAGUACCUAAGGAGGAAGCUCCGGCUAACUACGUGCCAGCAGCCGCGGUAAUACGUAGGGAGCAAGCGUUAUCCGGAUUUAUUGGGUGUAAAGGGUGCGUAGACGGGAAAUUAAGUUAGUUGUGAAAUCCCUCGGCUUAACUGAGGAACUGCAACUAAAACUGGUUUUCUUGAGUGCAGGAGAGGAAAGAGGAAUUCCUAGUGUAGCGGUGAAAUGCGUAGAUAUUAGGAGGAACACCAGUGGCGAAGGCGUCUUUCUGGACUGUAACUGACGUUGAGGCACGAAAGUGUGGGGAGCAAACAGGAUUAGAUACCCUG